rnacentral:tRNA from 1 species
UAAUAAGAAAUAAUAAAUUAUAAUUAGUUUCGACCUAAAAAUUAGAAGACCUCCCCCUUCCUUAUUUU